GAUGAACGCUGGCGGCGUGCCUAAUACAUGCAAGUCGAGCGAACAGACGAGGAGCUUGCUCCUCUGACGUUAGCGGCGGACGGGUGAGUAACACGUGGAUAACCUACCUAUAAGACUGGGAUAACUUCGGGAAACCGGAGCUAAUACCGGAUAAUAUAUUGAACCGCAUGGUUCAAUAGUGAAAGACGGUUUUGCUGUAACUUAUAGAUGGAUCCGCGCCGGAGUGGCUAGUUGGUAAGGUAACGGCUUACCAAGGCAACGAUGCGUAAGCGACCUGAGAGGGUGAUCGGCCGCACUGGAACUGGGACACGGUCCAGACUCCUACGGGAGGCAGCAGUAGGGAAUCUUCCGCAAUAGGCGAAAGCCUUACGGAGCAACGCCGCGUGAGUGAUGAAGGUCUUCGGAUCGUAAAACUCUGUUAUUAGGGAAGAACAAAUGUGUAAGUAACUAUGCACGUCUUGACGGUACCUAAUCAGAAAGCCCCGGCUAACUACGUG
rnacentral:rRNA from 1 species